GUCGACGGAACCUUCGGGUUUAGUGGCGGACGGGUGAGUAACGCGUGAGAAUCUGCCUUCAGGACGGGGACAACAGUUGGAAACGGCUGCUAAAACCCGAUGUGCCUACGGGUGAAAUAUUAAUAGCCUGAAGAGGAGCUCGCGUCUGAUUAGCUAGUUGGUAGGGUAACGGCUUACCAAGGCGACGAUCAGUAACUGGUCUGAGAGGAUGACCAGUCACACUGGGACUGAGACACGGCCCAGACUCCUACGGGAGGCAGCAGUGGGGAAUUUUCCGCAAUGGGCGCAAGCCUGACGGAGCAAUACCGCGUGAGGGAGGAAGGCUCUUGGGUCGUAAACCUCUUUUAUCAGGGAAGAACACAAUGACGGUACCUGAUGAAUCAGCAUCGGCUAACUCUGUGCCAGCAGCCGCGGUAAUACAGAGGAUGCAAGCGUUAUCCGGAAUUAUUGGGCGUAAAGCGUCCGCAGGUGGUUUUGAAAGUUUGCUGUCAAAGCGCGAGGCUCAACUUCGUAUCGGCGGUGAAAACUUCAAGACUAGAGUUUGGUAGGGGUCACGGGAAUUCCCAGUGUAGCGGUGAAAUGCGUAGAUAUUGGGAAGAACACCAGCGGCGAAAGCGCGUGACUGGGCCUGAACUGACACUCAUGGACGAAAGCUAGGGGAGCGAAAGGGAUUAGA
rnacentral:rRNA from 1 species